UAAAACAAGAAUAACAAAUUCAAAUUCAAACAUUGCUGCAUUCUUCUGUCACUGACAAUUCCAAACCUGCACUCAGUCUCCUCAUUACACUGGUACUGAACAGACACAACAUUGGAGUCUUUGCAAACUUUGUUCAAAAACUACAACUAUUUGACACAAAACUGCAACAGCAAGCACAGAAACUUCAAACAAAUCACUGAAAGAAACCAAAUCCUGCGUGGAUCUUUCUCCUGACAGACGCCUAAAAUGGCUCCUCGAGCUGUGGAAAAUCCACAUCUUAAGAGGUUUAACUCACAAAGCAGCUCAGAUGUCAGCAGUGACAG